rnacentral:misc_RNA from 1 species
GUGAAUCAUCGAAUUUUUGAACGCAAAUUGCACUCCCUGGUAUCCCGGGGAGUAUGCCUGUUUGAGGGUCGUUAGAAGAAAAAUCGAAGCAUCGCUCUUUUUUUGAGGGUGAUCGCGUCGGAAUUGAGCCGUCUUUCAAAUGCUAAUCCAUGUCAAAGUGGCUUAAAAUUCAUCCAUCCGGUACGAUUAAAGCGUAUUUAAGAUCAAUUUGGAUUAAGAACGCGCGAUGAAGUACCAUCCCAUGUAUUACUUUUGACCU